GAAAACUCAUUUCUUUGUUUAAAAUUCAAAUUUUUGUUAAAAAUAGUCAUGGAACUUGUUGGAGUUUUAGAAAUAUAUUUAGAGUAUUGAAGUGUUUUCUUUUUGUGCUCUAAUUUUUGGAUGGAAAGGAUAGCAUGCAUUUGUUUUACAUCUGUAUUAAGUACUCAGCAGGACUAUAUGGUAUUUGAGAGCAAGAAUAAGAAAAUAUGAAAGAGAAGUAGGUAUAUUUGGGCUUAUUGUCUCUGUAAUGUUGUUUUGCAAAGUUUCUUUAUCCUUUGAUUUUGGUAAAGUGAUACCUGGCAAGUGAAGACUGGACCUACUGAAGAGGGAAGUGACGCCUGCUGCUGCUCUAACUAAAGUCAUGAGUGCGUGCUACCUUUGUAUUGGAUUUGUAUGCCUCUAUUGUUUGAAGAGUGUUUUAAAAAUAUUUUCCUUCCAUAUACACAAAGGAUUCUGCCUAUGUGCAUUUCUAAUGUAUUUUCAUGUGGGGAUACUCCAACUUUUUACAUAAAUAUACCCUAAUGUCACAUUAAAACACUGUGCUGCUGCUUGUGCUCUACUUUGACAAAACCUAAAUUUGAUUUCAAGCCCACCUGCACUAGGUGCCUACAUCACUUGCAAAUGCAUUUUUGGGACUGGAUUUGGGAUGAUUGGAUUGGUACAAUUGAAAGAAAAUCUGGCCUGGUGUCGAGCCCAUCUGCCCCUUUAGAUCCCAGCAGUGUUCUCAUGUGACUCUGUCAGGCAAACCAGGCAGGGCCAGAGACCCUGCUAAGGAGGGUGAAAAUUUGCAGGGAGGUUGUGGACAACUACACACAGCAAGGGAAGUCAGCAGAAACACAUCUAUUCACUUAGAAACUCAGCAGCAGUUGGUCACUAAAAACACCAAUUUGCCUGACAGAUCAAAGCACAAAUGAAAUUAGUGCAAGAGAUUAAGAACAGCUAUUUACAUCUAGGGACUGUUGGCAAAAUAUUUCCUUUGCUAUGGACAAAUUAUUCUAUAUUUAGCUUAUGUUCUUCUCUAACCUAGAAUAUGCAUUGAAGACUCAGUAGUUUCUGCUGCCCAUUUGCAGCUUAGAAAGUGGAAAGUUUCAUUAUAUGCUUCAGUAAAGUUUUCUUGUGAAGGUGUGGAUCCUGAAUCUUUUCAUAGGCAGAAUUUUAAUUAAAACUGAUGUAAUGCAUUAAUGGAUUCUGCAAGGACUUGCAUAAGGACCUAAUGAUACUGAAUUUGUGAUGAGGAAGGGUUGUGGAGUAAGUUCUGUAAACUAGCAGACAAGUUUCUGGAUUUAGAUAUUUAGAUCUGCAUACACUCUGUUUUCAAGGAUGGGUGAUUGUGUGAUUGUAUUUAUUCUGUUUUAUCAGUGUCAAUUAAGCCUGUGAACCCUAAUUUAGCUUUAUAUGGGACAUGAGGAAAUUUGAAGAAAGUUUCUAAUGAGAAUGGUUAUCAAGGACAGUGAGAAAUAGAACUAAAUUGAGCUCAAAAAAUAGAUAAAGGGUAGGCUUCCAAGUAAAGUCCAAUUUGCAUCCAUUUUACUCGAUGUUUAUUUCCAAGACAUGCGGACAGGAGAAAUUAUUGCUACCUAUAGACUAUGCAUGUUUCUCCUGUAUUUAUACUGAAUUAAUUUGAUAUGCCCCCCCAGUUGUUCUCAGGGGCAGGGAAAAAGUUGUUUUUCCCUCAGUUUAUAUGAGAAUAUAGAGGUUGUCUUUUGUCUGGGGUGCUGCAAGUGUAGAUUGGGAUUUACUGCUUAUGACAUGCUGAUAUACCAUGGUAAGUGGUCAAGGUUUAAAAUUUUACUGGAUUUGUUGCUUGGAAUCUGUCCCAGCCAGAUUGGCAGGAACUGUCUAAUGUUUUGGACAUUUUGGCUCACAAUUUCAUUGUUUUUAUAAGAAUUCAAGGCUUUGGGUGCAGUCUCUUUCUCCAGCUCUCUUUCUGUUGCCCAUAGUAUUUAUAGGUUUUAUUUUUUAUUUAUUUUUGAGUUUCUGCAUAUUUGAAGUUGUAGGGAGCUUGGAAAUAAGAUGUGUAGGCUGUAGGAGCUCUUCAGAAGUAAAAUGUUUUAAUAGGUGCCUGUUUGUUUAUCCAGGACUCUGGGUUUUAUUGUUCUGUUGGACUCUUGGAAAAUGUACUGAGGUUCAAAUUUUUUUUUUAUUUUCUUUCUUGUUAUGGAAAGUUGUCUGCGUGCUUUGAAGUAGCAUCAGACAUUAUGUAUAGUUUGAAAGUAUUACGUAUUUGUUAAAAGUCCAAAUAGAUCAACCUUUGAUCUUUAUGUGUAGCUUGGUAAAUCCUUGUUCUGCAGUGCUCAUUUGAAUUUCUGUCUCUGCUUUUAAUCUUCAUUCUGCACAAUACAGGUUCUCAGUAUGAUAAAACAGAGGUUACUGGGUUGAAUCUUCUGCAGCAGCCUGCCCAGUGGAUCGAUUUUUCCCCUGUAACUAGUGUUUAUUGUUUUUCAUCCUAACUGUGUAAAUCACCUGUCAGUUAUUGAACAUUUUUUUUCUUCCUGAGAAUGCUUUAAAAGUAAGCUGGAACUUGGAUACAUUCUUAGUGACUUUCAUUCAUGAUUUAUUUAGAAUUCACUCAAAUUGUAUUAAUCUUUAUAUAUACUUAACAAAAUAUUUGUCAUUUUAGAAGAUAAUCUAAAAUACUCUGCUAUCUUUAUUUUUACAGGUUGGAGUAUAGCUCAUGUGUUGAGUUUAUUUCUGAGAAACUAGCAUUGGGUCAUGUAUAAUGUUCUGUUUGAUCAAAUCCUGGAUGGCUGUUUUUUCUCUUUAAUACAGGGGAUGAUUCAGGGGGAAUUCCUUUAUGGAAAGGGUUGUUAAAUGCUGGAAUGGACAACUUGGGCAAGUGAUGGGGUCGUCAUCCCUGAAGGUGUUCAAGAAAUGACUGGGUUUGGCACUCAGUGCCAUGGUCUGAUUGAGAAGGUGGAGCUGUUCAAAAUCUUUGGACCUGAUGGUCUUGAAUGUCUUUUCCAACCUUAAUGACUUGGUGAUUCUGUGAAACAAGGAUGAUGAAAUUCUGUGUAGCAUCAUAUGAAGUUAUUCAACAAAUAGGGUUUGUUUGUGUCAGUUUACCUUUACAAUGAUAGAUUCUGCUGUAGAUUCCAGCAGAAAGAGUGCUGUCUGUGGAAAGAAGUUACCAUGAUGCAAAUGAAGUUGAAUAUGGAAAAAAUUAACUGAAGACAACUGAUUUUAUACAGCCUCAACACUACCUUAAAAUGUAAUGCAGAGAUGGACUUUUGUAGAGGGGCAUAAGCCCUUUGCUGUGGGUAUUAAUUUAAAAUUACUUUCCAUCUAAAUUUUUCAGUUCAUGAAAUUUAAUUGUGUGCCAGCCUAGCUAAAAGAAGGUCAAGUCUUACAUGUUGAGCUCUUGACCAUGUUUUCCCCUAAUGCAGCGAUAAUUUUCUCUCUUAUGCUGUUCAUUUCUUAGUGCUUUAAGACAGUGGAAAGCUGGAAUUUUUUCUUUUGUUAAUUCAUUUUGUUCAUCUUUUAGAUAAUUCAACAUUAUGGUGUAGAAAGUUAUUAAUAGUCACUGAUGGGUGAUAGUUUGACCAAACCAGAGAAUUAAACUGCCGUGUUGUGAGAGAAACUGAAGCAAGUGGUCUUGAAACACUGGGAAUUUAGGACAACCUCUUCAACACACCUGUAUCUCAAAUCAAUGUCAGUUCUCUCUCCUUGACCUGCACCCUCUGAGCACUGAUCCUACAAGGAAUUGAACAGUAAGGGAGGUGUUCUUUGUUACUCCACAGCUGCUUUUGUCUAGCUGGUAACUUUUUCACUUAACUAGGUAGAGAGAAAUAACUUCUUCUUGUCUGUCAGACUCCACCACCUUGUCAAAUACUAUUUUUCUGGCAAUUUCACACAAGAAUGCACAUUAUCAGAAAUAAAUAUCCUACUGUUCUGAUUGGCUGGUUAUCUAAGAAUCAUGCAGAAAUUUCUCAUUUUUAAGCCAUUGAUUGCUUCUUGCCCUUUCCCCACCCACCCCCAUGAGAAGCCUCAGCAGAAUUUGGUAAUUAUAGCUACUUCAAAGAUCUGGAAGUUCUCCAGGCUUUAGGUGGUAUUUCUUAGAGAAAGUACAGGCGAGAGUAAUGGAAUUGCUGGUGUACUAGAGGCAGAGAAAUAACUCCAGAAUACAAAACAGGUUUUUUUUUCUUCAUUUGCUAUCAUAAUCUUAGGACAUACAGGGAGUGAGGUGUUGACUUGGUGGCCCUCAAAGAUUGUAUCUUUCUGCAGUGUACAAUCCAUGCAUCUUUAAACUUUGCAUCACAGAAGCACACUUGUGAUGGCAGUUUUGCUCAAGCUUUGUGUUUCAGGACCUUAGAAGUGGCAAGUGUGAGGCACAUUAUAGAGCAGGAGAAGGAGAAUAAAGCUGAAAUUGGAAUCCUGCUCUUUUACAGGAAUAGCAAAGAAUAUCAAUGUCAGCAAGGUUCACUAAAAUGCUGGGGAAAUAAGCUGUGUAAAAAAUGGGCUUAGAUUUCUUUCCUUUAUCAAGGAAUUUAAAAUCUGGGCAAUAAGCUUUCACAGGGAUAGCAGAAUUCCCAGCUUGGAGAGAGUUAUAGCAAAGUUUUCCUUAGUUGCUGAUUCACAAAGCAGGAGAGGACAAAUGUAGCUCUUGAGUAACAGUGUGAGCAUGUGUUUCUGCUUCAGUUUGGGAGAUGGAGCCUCUCGAGGGAGUGUUGAGCUCUGUUUCGUGCUUUCUGAGCAUUUCUGCCCAGAUUGCACUUGGUUUUCUAUCACUGUUAGACUGAAUCCUAUGCCUUUAACUAAUUAAAUUCACUCAAGUAUUUUUGUUAGUGUUUUUCAAAGGUAGAUGAAAUUUAUUGUUGUUUUCUGAAAAAAAUGAAUGGCUUUUGCUUUGAUAGGAAAAUGAAUGUAUCUUGUGGGGAGCAAAGUGGUCUUUGCAUGUAGACUUGAGAGAAAGGACAUUCUUGGUCUGUUAGUGGUUGAAAAUAUGUCUUGAAGCCAUAACAUCAUUCUAUGGCUUUCUUCAUGUUCAGAAUUAAAUAUCAUAAAGAUCACUAAAUAUACAUUCUUGUCAGAAAACACAAGGUGCCUGCCUUAAAGUUCUUAAAUUGGUUAUCACAUGUCUCUUCUAGAAUUUUAAAUAAACAUUUGUUUCUCUAUAACUUUGUGAGAACUGUAGGUAAUAUGGGGAUUUUAUCAUGUGGAAAUCUAGCACAGAUGUUUGGUAUUACUUUUUUUUAAACAUAGUGGCCACACAUUAUUUACCCUAAGUACCAUUAAGUAUUUUUUUAUUAUUGCUAUUAAAAACUUGCCUAAGGCAAAGUCCCACUAAGUCUCUAGUAAAGUCAAAUGUUAAAAUUCCACAAAGUAUUUUAUUAUAUAUACAUACACGUAUAUUACAUAUGCCCUCUCUGUACAACAUACAAUUUCACUAAAACAAAUUCUGAGAUCAUAUUGGAUUUUAUAUACACAUUUUAACUCUUAUCUUGCAUGUAUUCUUAAAAUAAUGUUGUUGCUCAUGGUUUAAAAUUAGAGCUUUUUUGUAUUUAGUAGAAAGAAGAACAACACAUCUUUAUAAUAAUUUAAAGUGUACUUCUAAACUUUCAAGGGGCUUUUUAAAACUUUGCUCUAUCUUUGAACUCAGCUUGGUCAAAUAACGAAGGCUGCUGAUAGGAUUUGAACUGCCAUCAUGAAUUAGUUAUUGCAUGUUUUUAAAGUUAUUAAUGGAGCAAAGUUCCUCUUCCACUGUGAAUAGAACAGAUGCCUUGCAGACUUUUGGUGUUUACUGUAAAUGUCUUACACUGGAGCCAGUAGUAAUUUACUAAGGAAAUGCUUUAUCGACACCGAACUUUUCUUCCCCAAAGUUGGUUACCCAGAUUAACAACCAUUCUAGACUGAGCUUUUUUAUUAGGUUCAUUAGUAUACCUCUUUCCUUUUAUUUCUCCUGCCUCAACUCAAAAUAUUAAUCUUAUCAUUUGCUCUAAAGACAAUUGCUUUUUAUCAAAAUACCAAUAGUAAUGAGUGUUUUUAAGGUGAUGCCUUAAGUAUACAGAAGGACUCUGCAGUGUUGGCAGUUGCUGGAGACAUGAGGAAGUAGACAGAACCUGCUUAUGCUCUAGAGAACAGUUGUUACUUCUAACAUAGGCCAUUCAGAUUUUGCUAUGCCCUGUGAUAUUCUUGCCAGGGUGCUUGGCUGCAAUAGUUUUUAUAAGUCCAUGAAGGAUUGGAAAGCUUUGUUCAUUUAGAAAUCACUUUCUUUAAAAGCAGGAUUGACCUCCGUGACACAACCACCAGUAGUUUGGAAUUGCGUAUAUGAGAAAGCUGUCAGUUUGAAACUGCCAUGCCUCAUACCAGCAAUUAAAAAAAUUAUUUUUGGAAGAGAGUAAAACCAUAUCCAUAAAUAAGCUGGAUUUCUGUACCUUUCUGUGUGGAGGUGAUCAGUAUUGAUCCUGCCAGCAUUCCUGGAAAGUGCAUCCUUUAGAAGGCAAUCUGGGGACUGGCUUAAAUUGCUGUAAUUCAAGUGUUGUCCCCAGACAUAAUAUGCUGUCUUUGCAAGGCUCUUUGCUCAGUUCACACAUUUACUACUUUCUAGUUGCAUGAUAAGUUUUUGGAGACAAGCCACGAUGAAAUAGAGAAAAAUUAUCAGUUUUGGUUUCUUUCAUAUUCCCUGUCCCGUAAAUGCUCUGUUACUCAUUUCUGUGCCAAUAACUUCAUUUUCCUAUAAUGUAAUUAACUUUUUCUAGGUCCAUCUUCCUGUCCUUUUUUGGAUGAAUGACUAUAGCUCAUGGAAGUGACUCACAGACUCUGAGACUUUAAUGUAUUUUCUCAGAAUCAGAACUGAAUUUCCAGGGAAGGGGAGAGCUGGCCACCCUGGAAUUCCAGUGUAGACUGCUCUGAUUUAGACCCUCUCUGUUAGCUGAUUUGAAAUUACUUUGUCUUAGGAAACAUUCAGCCUUUACCCUGGACUGGAAAUCCAUGUAUUUUCACUUGAGAUAGAGUUGCAGAAAACUGCAACAGGCCAAUCUCCUGCCAGAGUCUAUAUAUAUAUAUGAGCGCACUUUUUUCCUUGCAAGGUUGCAAAGACUCAAAAGAAGAAAAUGUUUUUUUAUCUUUGAAAACAACCUCCUCCCUCCUCUACCCCUCAGUCUGCUAAUAAAGUAGUUUUUCAUUUGCUAAAAAUGAGUUUUGCCUUGGUAUGUGCUGGUUUAUUUUAGUAAUGAAAGUGGAAGUUUUAUUGUAGGUAGUAGAACACAGCUAAUAAUGUAAACCCUUUCUAAAGUUUCACCUAAAUCUCAACUUAAUGAAGAAAAGUGUAAUGUCAGAUUAAGCUAUUUAACAAAACAAUAUUUCUGAUAUAGUGAAUAGAUUAUAAUUUCCUAAUUUUAUAGCUAUAGUGUUUGGCUUGUGAGGCAAUUCUGAUAAUAGGAAAUUUUUUUUUGAUUUUUAACAGUUUGGGGCUGAUAUUCCCACAUGAUUAUAAGGCUCUCAAUAUAUUUAUGCACAAAUACAAAAUUUGAUAAUGGCUAUAAACAUAAUUCAUCUCCCUAUAAAUACUUGGCUAAAAUGUUGGUGAAUAACCCCAAUAAUGCUCUGAAAGACAUAGCCAUCAAAAAUGUGGAUAUGUUUGAAAGCACUGAGAACAAAAUUCUGGGUUUUUUUUGGUUUUUUUUUUUUUUUUUUUAAUCAGAUGAUAUCAGUGGGAUUGAUUGAUUUAAGGGGAAUAGCAUUAGAUUUGAGAGAAUAAAUGAAUCCAGACUUGGUUACUGGUAGGUUACACUGUUGGAAAGAAAUAGUUUUCCAUAGCUUUUCUGUAGGUGGAGCCAAUGUCUUCACCUGCUUGGUUCAUUUCCAUAUAUCAGCACAGCAUCCUCUCCCUGAAACAUAACCCUUUAAAAAAAAAAAACAACCCACAUGUUUUAGAGCCAUUUAUGUCUAAUGAGUUUAUUUAGGAUAGUUACUGGUUCUGUAUGUUCUUCAUUGCCCUGCUUUUUAUGCAAUUUUCUUUCUAAACACACACUUUAUGUUCUUUCCUAGAGACCUGUGAUAAUGGAAGAUUUUUUUACAUAGUCCAAGUUCUACUGAUAUUACUAAAAAAAAAAAAAAGAAAAAUAAUGUAAUAAUUGUCAGAGAAAUGCUUAGUCAGCUGAUGGCUGUAGUUGGUAACAGCAAACAGAUUCUUUGUGUGUUUCACUGGCUGCUGUAUGCUCCAUUAACAAAAUUCUUAUGCUGCCAUUCCUCUGCAAUGUUGUCUCAUUCCUAAUUGCAUUCAGACCAGUAUUUUUUUGGAAAACUUCCAAAUGGGGCUAAUAAAGAGCCAUUUGUUAAAGGGAAUGAGCUUCACACACCUUUCUCUUUAAAGUAUGCGUGUGGAGAAUGCAUUAAUUUCAUUUGCUAAUAGAUAAUUACAUUGAGUUAUCUAUUUUUUAUAGUCACACUGCUUUAAUUUGCUUUGACUCUUACACAUUUAAUUUCCAUGAUUAGAAAUUUAUUUAUAAAAGUACAUAGGUCUUAGGUUUUAGAUUUAUAACAAUGAAUAUAAGCUAAAAUAGAUGGGUUUAUUUUCUUUAGCUCAUUAUUUGACUUAAAACUAAACAUUGGAAAAAUAUUUCUCUAAUGCAUAGUCUUUAGAAGGAGAACUCCAGGAAUUUCUCAGUUCAUGAGAUCCUUUCAGCAAGUUCCUGCAAAUACUGAGUCAAUUAAAUUUCUACUUUUUCAUUAGCUGCUGAAUUUUUGCAAGGUUUAUUAACUAGAGCAGUGGUAUUUAGAUGCUGAGCAAGAAAUAGUGUGUGGAUUAAUAGGUAUUUGAAAGUAUUGGGAAAAAAUAUGAGGCCCUAAAUAAUUCCUAAAAAUCAGCCAGUAGCUAACUUGAAGAUUUUCAUCCUUCAUGUAGAGCAUGAAGGCACUAGAUGGCUCUCUUGAACGAGGAUUGUGUUUCAGUGUUGUUUUCACAGACAAUCUCAUCCUAUUUGUUAUUUUUCAUUGCUCCUUUUAGAGUGGUAGUCCAUGCAAAGACAUUUCCACACAGAUUUUAUUUGAGUCUGUGAUCUGAAUGCAGUUUACAACAACUAAGUCAGAGAACCAAAGGAAGCAGACUGAAAAGGAUAGUGCAGCUUUCUACAGAAAAUCAGGAGUGCAGUCUGAAGGGAUUGGUGAAAUUUGGUCCCACUGUGUUAGUCAGGGAUUGUAAUUUGAUUUACUAAAGUUAAAGAGCAAACUAAGGGGUCAUUUUCCUCUUUGAAUGGGUUGGAGCUUCAUCAUAUCUGCUCCGAUACUGCAGCUGCAACACAUCUGAAAGCGCAUUGGGGAGCCGGCAGUGCUUGUUUCAGGUGUUAGCAUGUUCUUAGCAGUGCUGAAUUAAAGCACAGCUUCUCUCAGCUUGGGGCACCUGUGAGACACUGGGCACUCCCAUGGCUCCAGCAUUCCUUGUUUCAGUAUCUGGGGGAAGCAGCUGCCAUUCCAAAGAACAGUGUUUUCAUGGAGAAAGCACAUUUCUCUGCUACGUCUUAAGACUCAUAGGCAAUGUCAUUGCUGAUGAAAUUUUCUGUCCCCAGCUAUGAGUAAUUAAGCUUGUAGCUACUUGCUAUUUCAUAAGUGAUUGUGCAGGUGUCAAAUAGAUGAGGAGACUGAAUAUACUAUAUGCUGAAUUAUCUUUGCUGUCAUUUAUUAAACAUCUGUUUUGAUGAAGAGUUACAGUGUCCUUUGGGAAAUACCACCCUGAUAAUUCCAUAAGAUGUAGCAUUCAUUCUCUCUCUCUUUUUUAAACAAUUAUUAAAAAAUUUUAAGAUUUUUUGUACCUCAAAUGAAAGAUGCUUAUGCAGGUUUCCAUAGCUCGAGCAACAUAAUGAUGAACAAAUAAAUAUGAGGUAGACAGUUUUUCUGAUAUUGUAGUGCUUUUACACAUACAUGCCACAAACAAGUUUUUCCCCUUGCAGACCUUUCUCACAAAGGAAGUAGAAUCUGUAUUCGAUUUUAAAAAGUACCACUGUAGCAGAGGAGGAAGGAUUUUUAUUGCAGAUGCAUUGUUAUCCCCAACAAAAAUGUUGGUCUGUUUUAGAGCCUUGGUGGACUGAACACCUGCAUGUUUCAGUCAGAGCAAUCAGUUUGUUCUUACUUGUUCCUGAUCUGCCUGGAGAGAGUAAUUUUCAGCUCUCAACUUGCAAAUGGCAUAUUUUCACAUAGGAGGACAUGUGGCAGAGGAAAGAUUUUCAGCUGAUAACAAGUUUCAGAAACCAUUAUCAAAAUAAUGUUACCUUUCAGCCUCUCAACAGUACUGUGAGUGUUUACAGAGGUCUUGGCAGUGCUUACUCCCCAUCUGCACCAUUAAGGCACAGCAUGAUUGGCCAGAAAAAGGAAUUCUUACCAAGAGAUUGGGAACAGACAAGCAUAGGCUCCCAGGAAAAAAGUUCAUUUUAACACCAACUCAGAUAAUAGAAUUUAUCAAAACAAUAGUGGGCUUCAGGAUGGUAAGAUGGAGCUUCUGGAAGGAUUCCAAAUUGGGGCUACUUUGAUCAUUUUUUUCUGCUGUGUCCUUCAGCAGGAAGGGUUUCUUGCCUCACAUGUAUCUGGAAGCCAGGUGCCACAUGCAAAAUUAAUCUUUAAUUUAUUAACCAUUUUUUUCUGAAUGGCUGUCUUUCUAGCAAAGCCUAAGAAACUGGUUUAAACAUCCAGAAAACCUAAGUGUUUUUUGUGUCUGAUAGAAAAAAAUUAGAAUUAGAAAGUUUCAUAAAACUUCCCUUUUAUUUCUUCAGAAACGAGUUAUGAAUGUAUUAUUAGGAGGCUGAAUAAUCCCAGUAUAUGAAUUUGUGGUUUUGCUCAUGGUGUGGAGUACCAACCCGUGGUACUUCACAAGCAUCUUUCAUUCAAUUUUAUGAAGCUUUAGUUCUAAUGUCAAAUGUGUUUGAAUAUUGCCUAUGAUCUCUUCCUGCUAGAAUCAUUGGGUAGAAUGACAGAGAUGAACUCCAUAAAUAAGGGGAAGUGUAGGCUGUUCAAUUACAAGUGCUGCCAUACAGGGUUUGUGCAUCAUGAUAUUUGUGAAAUGCUUACUAGUUAUUUAGUAAGCAUUUGUGAAAUGCUUACUAGUUAUUUACAAAAUGCUGAAAGUGUGAGCAGAAGCUCUCCUGAGAAGAGGAGCAAAAGAGCUGGCUUAACAUAUUUAAUUUGCCAGCUGUAGGAGUUAUGCACUUUUUUUGGAUAGAUAUUUACUACAGGAAUGUAAAAUUCAGGCAAUUUAACAGCAUGAAGGAAUUUAUGAAGAAAGCUUGUUUUUUCAGAUGGCAAUAGGUUUUGUUCAUGAUUUGAAUAAUUGCAUUUGCCAUUAUGACAGCUAAAUUUAUUUCACUGUGUUCUGCCCAGGUCACAAUUAUGUGUUGUAAACUUGGCAGUCAUUGGUGUUCCUGGUUCCUGGUGUUUCCCUGGACUGCUGCAACUCGAGGUUGCAGCAACUCACGGAUUUAUGAAAGACCUGCAAGAAUUCUUUUUCCACAAGAUCGUCCUCCCCUUCUUUUUCAGAGCUGAGUUAAAUAUUCCAGAUCUAAUGUUUUGAAUUUUUGUCUACCAUCCCUUUUCCAUUUCACUUUGAAGGAGGAAUUCAGCAAUAACAGUAUCAACCAGUAUCAGGCUGAAACAAUUGAGACUUUUCUGUGAGACUUCUGGCUCGCUUUGGUGUUUACUGUGUCUCAUCAUCAGGUGAUUGUGAUGAAGCCAUACUCAAAAUUUUUGCCCAAGACAGGUUUCAGAAUUACAAAUUUAAUCAAGUUAUAUGCUAACCUGUAUUCCUCUUGAGACACAUUGAAAUAAUGAGAAAACUACUUGGCACUCUUAGAUAUCAGAAAAGCCUUUUUGUUUGAAGGUUUGGAGCCCUUCUUCCCUGAACUGUUAGUCCUAAAGAAGCUUAAAAAUUUUACUGUCUCUCUGAAUACCCCCUUAAUUACUGUUAAUUCAGAGUAUCUCUGAAUGUAUUCAGAACUUUUAUUUCCUGAAGCGUUACAUAGUGCUUGGGGUUCACUGUGAGAGGGAAACACCAGGACAAGCAACUUGGAAAAAAUAAAGUUUACCAGCUUGUCUGUCCUCUGGAUUUCUUUGAGAUGUUUUGAUCCUUUCUGUGUUCAGCUUCACACCCUCCUCCACUCUCGUGUGUACUUGGGGCACAAAGAUCAGUGGCAGUCAUGCCUUGUUCUUCCCUCUCUGGCGCCGGGAGUGAGGCUGGUGCAGGUGCAGAGUCAGUGGCAGCUGUUUUCCCAGCUCUGUUCCAGGUGUGGGAAGCACAGCAGUCACUUUGUGGCUGCCUGGCUCUCACACCUGCCUGGUGCACAGCUUGGACUUCACUUAUUUCCCAACCUCCUCCAAAAGCAAUUGCUUGGGAAUGACAGCUGCAUCUACAUAAAUGCAAACAGCAUGCACAAAAUCCAUGUCAAUGUACAGCCUCUGAAUCUUUAUUUUCCAAGUGAAUUUCCUGGCUACAGGAAUAGAGUAUUCUAUGUAAGUAAUAUACCAUAUAGAACAUCUUAUAUACAGUGAUAUUUGUGGUAUUAAUAGAUCUGUAAAAAUGUUUUGGGGGAUGAUUUAUAUUAGUUCUCUUGCAUGAUAGGAGUACUAGGUGAAGUGUCUCAUGAAAAAGAUGGAUUCUGAAGACAGACAAAUGUUCUUUUAAAGAUCUUUUAGACAAGUAUUUAAUUUUUUCUCCAGUGUAAAUUCAAACUUGUUUACUGCAUCCAUAAGUGUUUUCUAAUAUUUCUCAUACAGUGGUAAUACCAAUGUUUCUGUCGUGAAUGUUUCCAAAUGCAAAAGUAACUUUUCUUUAGUGUCACAAUAAAAUUCAUAUAAAUGUUAGAAAGAAGAGAAUGGCAAGAUUUCGAGUAUAGGAAUGUAAUUCUCUAUAGAACACCUAUUUUGUUUUCAGAAAUAAAGUUGAACUGUCUAUAUUUUGCACUAAUUUUGUAUUUUGCAUGCCUUCAGAGCUCUGGAUAUGUAAACUGUACCUUCCAACAGUUAAGAUUUGAAGCACGACACAUCCUGAUUCUUGGUGUAAAAAUAAAUUUAAAAAUUGACACUUCCUGUGAAGGAGAGGCAAUGCAUACACAGAGCAUGUUGUAACUGUGGAGUCCUACAGAACACCUGACAGUUCUGAUCAUGUACUUCAGAAAAUAGUUUUUCCAGUGCUGUCUUGAGUGAACAGCCUAUCAAAAGCUUGCUAGGAAAAGGAAAUAUCUUUAAAAGUUUUCAUUGUAUUCUCAGCUGUGUUAAACCAGUUUAUUAAGAAUGGAUUUAUGCACUCUGGUACCUGAACAAAGUAAUUUGUAUUGGGAUUGUUCAAUGUGAUGACAGAACUGGAAGUCAUUAUUACAUUACACUUGUAUUUCUUGUUGCUGGCAAGUUCCUGAAGGACAUGAGAUUUUAGAUGUUGUCACACUGAGACAGAGUCUCACCUAACCUGGAAACCAGCAAGAUAAAAAAGCAGGAAAUGACCUGUAAAGAACAAAGUUCUUUGGGAUUUUUCAGGAUCUGGUUGGGGAUUUCUUGAAAAAGAACUGAGGUAAUGAUUGAUUGUGGAGGAAGAAGUGAAAAUAAUGAGGUGUCGUUAAUAUUUCAUAAUUGUCAACACUACAGGUGAUAACUGGAAGCAAUAUAUUGCUUUGUCUUGAAAGCACAUGUCAAAAGCUGUUUUAGAUGUCAUUGUACCGUAACAGCUGAGCCAAAAUAUAGUGUGCUUAUAUAUGAAUCUGUUAAUCUUGCCUAAUUUAAUGCACUGAGAAAUCAAAUCUAACUUUUUUGUUUGUUUUCUCAGUUGAGGUUAAAUGAGCAAGCAAUUAUUUGACUUUUUAGUGAAAGAAAGUCUGUGUUGCUUUAAGUGUUAAGAUAAAAUAGCACUGAAUUAAAAGAUGGUUUUAAACUUUUUUUUUAGUAGCUCAUGGACUGUUACAGUAUGGGCUGUGAUUUAUUUAUUUAUUUUUUAGUGGGCCAUCUGUUCAUUGCUAUAUAGCACGAAAAAAGGAAAGGCAAAAAUAUCAGAAAGUAACUGAGAAAAGUCUUAUACUGCAGCUUGGUGGGUGACGUGAAAAAUGCAAGCUCUACUGACUUUUAGGCUGCAUGUACAUUAUAGCAGUAGAAGAAUGGUUUUGGAGCUAAGGAGUUUGGUACUGAGGAUAUUUUGGGGGAUUUAUAGUAGGUGGGUUUUUUUCAUCUCUGCCCUUUUUGAUAUAAAGAUCGAAACUAAAAGCCUGUGAUAUGUUUAAAACAUUGUGCUAGAGAUAAUGAUGAUUUUACAGAACUGUUUCUAAAGGCCAUUAGGCUGUAGUGUUGCUCUUUCAUAAUUCCUAUUACCACAAUGCAUUGUUUAGUUCAUAUACACCAUGUUUAGGCAAUAAACAAAAAUCCAGAGCAUGUGGAAAGUUCAUUUUCUAGAGGUUUUGGAAAAAUCUAAUUAUAUGAGAUAAUGUGUUACGGUAAUGCAAAAGCUUAAGUAUAAAAUACAUUCACUUGUAACCUGAGCAGUGCCCAGACUGCUUUCUGUUAAAUGUUUUCUGUUGGAAAUUACUGGCAUUAAAAUCUCAGCAGUUUUUUUUUUUUUUUCUGAUGAAGGCAAACCCUUUGAACAAUACUGUUUUUAUGAUUUUGCUUUAAGUCUUGACAAAAUCUAAUUUCAUAACUUAGAAUAUUUAAGAUGCUUUGUUUUCAUCUAAUAUCACCAGAGAAGUGGUCUGAGAAGUAGCAGUGAGAUGUACCUGUUCCAGAUUUUGCUUGGCUUCUUUCAUUAGAUUCUGCUGGUAUUUUAGGGUAUUUGGAACUUAAUAGGAUAUGAUCUUAAUUUCUUUAUGGUUAAAGGACACUGAGCAAAGUUUGAGAAAUAAAUUUUAGAAAAUAAAGACCACACAAGAUUUCAGGGCCUGAACCUUUGAAGCCCAGUGAGUUUGAUAUGUAUUCAUGUGAAAAUACAGCAUUUGUGCUUAAAAAAUGUGUAAAGUUCUUACAGUCUGAAAAAACUGAGUGAAAAGUGUUCUUUGUGAUACUUUAAUAUACCAUGAGACUUCUAGUCCUCAAACUACUAAAAUGAUAAAUGCUUUUUCCAUAGCACGUUGGGAUUUUUCAGAACUACUGGAAAGUAAACCCAGUGGCUUUGCAGCAGUUUGCCAGAAGCUCUGUGUUCCUGGCAAUCUCAGUUUCCCAGGUGGAUGUUUGAGGAUGUCCAGCCCUAGUGAAGGUAGUCAGUACAAGUGUACUGAGCUGAGCUACUUGAGAAUUGAAGGACAGAACACUUUUCUCACUGAGGCUUGAAAGUUCUGGUCUACUGUCACCUCAAAUUUAAUGACUUUAUAGAGCUAAUUUAAUAAUAGAAGUACAGAGUCUACUUUUUCUUCAACUGUUAUUUGCCAAUAAAGUAAACUUUAACCAUUCAGAUGAAUAUAGGUAAAUAAUGAUUAACAGCCAAAUAUGGAUAUAAACAUCUGUAUUCAGCUGUUGGUAAUUGAGCAUCACCAUGUUUAAACACUGUGCCUAGAAUAUUUGAUUUGCUAGUAUUGGAAACCCAUAUGAUUAUCAGGAAAGACCUACCUCAUGAGUAAGGCUAUUGAGUAAUCUAAAGUAAAAAUAAUUCAUCCCAAACCAACACAACAGUCAACCCCCUGAGAAACGCAUAGGCAAAACAGCGAUGUGUGAAAAAUUCUUUAAUUCUAACCUCUAAAUAUUGUUUAUUGUGAAUAAAUAAUUGCAGAUUAAUUGUUUACAACCAGAUAAAUUGUGAUAAUUGAGUUGAAUUUCCAUGAGCUGUUUUUAAAAGCUAUUCUGACAGACAUUUGGUAGCAUUAAUAUGCACAAGAAAAGAGAGAAAGAUAUUGAGAUUUAGUUUCUCUUCCUAUAGAUAGGUAAGAGAAUUAGCAAGUGAAAUUUUGAACCGUAUUCAGGUCUGGUUCCUGAGCAAGAAAACUUGACUGUUUAUCAUUUUGUGAACCAGUCAUUGGUUAAUUCAAAAGAACCCCAUAAAAUGAUACUUAUUCUGUAUAUAGGGAUUGUUCUGUAUGCAUACAUUUGCAGAUGAGGAGAACAUCAGGGUGUAGCAGAAGAACUAAAGGGGGGCCCUCAGGGUGGUCCAUUCUUCUCGGUGAACCACAGAAGUCCUACCAGCCUUUCUGUGAUUCUUAACAUCUGCUAGAAAAUGCAUUGCAUAGGAGGAAGGUCAGAAAAAGGAAUUGAUGAUCCUUACUUGAAAGACUAAAUGGAGGCAGGUAAUGAUGCAGUUCCUUGACUUGUAAUUCUGCCCAUUUGAUAUGAGGCCUAUAUAGUAGCUACUUCUUAGAAUGCUUCAUGAUAGAUAUAAAUGAAGUACAGAAUUACAAUAAUUUAACCUAAUUGCUCUGUAAAAUAAAAUAAAUUAAACCAUCAUUGUUCUAUUCUUUCUCUUAGAUCACCUUGUGAUGACCUUACCCUGUGUACUAUUGUUUUCCUCACAGAAAACAUGAAAAAUAAAAGGAUUAGAAGAAGCCUGCGAAAAGAAGGAUUAGAUUGCACUCAUUUUUUCUACAAAAAUGUCCUUAUGUUGUAAAUUGUUCUAACGAAAAUACUGUCAUCCAAAUGCAAUAAGACAAAGAACUUUCAAUAAAAGUAUAUAAAACAUAGUUUUUUAAAAGUAUGUUUUUAUUAAAAUUGCAAAGAAACUUGGUGUUAGGUUUGUCAUAGAAUAAUAUGCUUCUAAAACUGUGUUUACAGAGAUAUGGGGUGUGGAGGACUUGAGCAGUGAAAGAGACAAGUGCAAAUAAGAGAUCUAACAAAGAAUGAUGCUUUAUUGUUGGCAUGUUUGCUACUAAAUGAAAUUGUUACACCCGUUUCAUUUUUACCGCCUCUAAGUUCAGUAAGAUCCUCAUAUUCAUGGUGAUACUUAACAGACUUGCACAUGAUUUAAUCUGCAAUGGCCUUGCUGCAGUGAUGUCACUGACUAGAAUGACACUUGUGCUGAUGUAAAUAAGGAAAGAGUCAAACCACUGGUUCACAGAGACUGCUGAGAGCCAAAGUUCAGCCCUGAAACCCAGUCUUCUGAAAAAAGACACAGAGCAAUAUCCAAAUAGAGAAUGAAUAAUGCCUGUAAAGGGAGCCUUUAGCACGCUGGGGUACUGACUGUGGACCUGUUCCUGAAGAUAUUGCUGUUAGGUAGGAGUUGAUGCCAAGAAUUUUUGACAUUUGUGGGCUAAGUCCAUCAAUUGGCAGGAUAUGUGAAGAAGUGAUUUUGAAAAUGGAGGCUGUGUGGUAAGAGAUAGGGGCCUAGAAAAUCUGCCUGACUCUAUUGUGAGAGUCCAUAGGGAGCUGUAAAUAACCAGAUAGUAUUUAACCAAGAAGUAAUGCAGUAAGUAAACUAUGGAAUAAAUUGUUUCUGUAAUAUGUCAACAGAGUUAUGCAGUUGGCAAUUCUCCACCAGCUAACUUUUUUACUCUCUAGGUUUCUGUUCUUAUUCUAUGCAGUUUCUCUCUUCUCUGAACAGUUAACCUACCUCUUAUAUUUUUUAACCCUUAAAUUAUCUGGAACUCUUUGUUUUGAAUUAUCUUGUGCCAAAUUGUCUUUUUUUAUAAGCUUGUUAUCUGAUGUCAGUAGAGCUUGGGUAGUGGUUAUUAUCAGCCUACUGCUAUAUUUAAAUUAAGGAAAAUCUGCCAAUUCAGAGACUUACUGGGUAACUUAGCAGAUUUUUUUUUUGUCAUUUAGUGACAAUUUGGUACAUUGGUACUUGUUGAAAGCUACUAAAUGUAGCUUAAGCAGUGAGUAGAAACUAUGGAACGUGUAUGAAUGGCAUUUAUAUCUAGGCUGAAGAUUUGGCAUGUUCACUGAGUCCUGUGUGCUUAAACCAGUGACAGAUUCAAGCUCCCAAGUGAUUUACAGAAGGCCUAGAUCAAAUUCCUCACAGGGAUAUUUGGGAAGGCAUAGAAAACAAACUGCCACAUUUGAAAGAAUUGUUAGCAUUGACCUUGUCUAAGCCUAUAAAAACUUUAAGAAAGAAAUAUGAAAUAAAUGUGAAAUCAAACAUUUCAGGUGGUAUUGAGGUUAAGAGUUGUUGCUCUGUAGUGUAAAGGGAGAGUGGAAAGAAUAGUCAGUAUGAGUUACAGAAUCCCUGAAGAGAAGUGUCAGCACUAUCAGAUACCUAACUCCUAACAGAAAUAUCAGAAGAAAACUGUACAACUGGUGGAUGGGUGAACCAUAAAUAUAUUUAAGUGAGGGGCAAUAGCUCAUUGCAGCUUCAGUGCAUAGAAAUUUUCUGUUAACUUGAUAAUCAGUGAGUUAACAGCAUUAAUAUUUAUGUUCUAAUAACUGUGCUUAAGAAGAAAUGAUGAAAGAAAAUUAUUUAAUCCCCUAAAAUAUAGUAGUCUUUAAGGUGGAGACUUGGCAAAGAACUGUUGAGUGAAAUUUUGUAGUUUCCACUUAUUUAGCACUUUUUGCUCAGCUAUUCAGAACUACAUUAUUAAUAUGUCUGUGAGAUGUUUUUUGAAACAUGUAAAAGUCAGGAAAAUGUUGGUUCUCCUUUGUUAUGCAUAUCACAAUCAUUGUGUCAGCACAGAGACUAAAGUUGUCUCUGUUUUCUGUUAUGAGUUUUAGGUCAUAGAAUAUUUUGAAAAGAAUUCAUUUGGUAUACACUUACCUGCAAGUUUUCAUUAUGCUAAUUUUGUCAACAGUAUAUAGACUGUGAAGUCUUAGUGCAUUUAUAAUGUGCUAAAUAGAGAUCAAGAUUUUUUCAGAUGGCUUUUCUCAGUAUGGAUAAAGAUUCUUUAGCAACAUAUUGUGUUUUCAAAAAAAAAAAAAGGCUCUUUAGAAGUGAAACUCUACAAAUCAAAUCUCCAUGGUAACACUAGAUUCUUCUGCCAACCUGUGCUGUUGCACAUUUCCUUGUCAAACUGAAGGUAGUUUCACAGUUGUAUAAAACAAAUCUUUUUCAUGUAGUUAAAAUGGAGAAGUAAACCAACACUUUUAUUGGUCAUUUUGCUUAUGUUAUUGUAUAUCCCUUCUCAUUUCCAUUGCUGGUAUUUUAUGGUUUUGGCAUUCGUGGGGGCAAAAAGUGUUCUGAAGUGGAAUUUUAGCUUGUAGUUGUACUACAGAACAUGUUUAGUGUAAGACAAACCUCGAAGAAAUGGCUUAUUGACUGAAAUGACUUUAAAAUGAGUCUUUUAGCAUGUUGAGAAUUGUGUUUCUAUUCUACAUAUCUCUGCUUACCAAUGAGAUUUUUGCUUGUUGUGAGAAUCACAAGCUAAUUGAAUCAAAAUGGCAUCAAAAUAAUUUCUCUAGUUCAGAAGUAUUUUCAUAAAUAAUGAGUUAGACUUGUUCAUCCAACUCUAUAAAUAAAAGGAAUCUUUAGCCAUUUGGACUCCCCUGGGAAGCAGAGCAGUGUAUCCCUGUGCUGCUCAAGGCUGUUCAGCUGAAGGGGAGCAGUGCCUGUGCUUUCCCGAUCCUGGAAGGAGGCGCCACUGUGGAUUCCUGAAACGGUGGAACCUGAUUACUUCUGGCACAUGAGGUGUCCCAUGAGUUGUCGUUCACUGUCCUGAUGAGGAAACAGUUCUUGAGUGGGAAUUGUUUGGGUUGGCAAUUGUUAGACUGGAUGAUGAGGUAGCUCUGUAUGAAACACUGAGUGUGUGUUCUGACCUUCCUUCCCACCUUAAAAUGAAAAGUAGAUUUAAUGGAUGAUCAAAAUGCUGUUGGAAUGACUUAGUGACAGGAUGUGUCUGCUUACAGAUGGGGAAUGUCUGUAUUUUUACACAUAAAAUUAAUGUGCUUUUGGUCUUUUGAUUAGUGAUGAGUUGCAAGUUUUUAAUUAAAAUGGUAGUGGUGUGCAGCCUGGCAUAACUUUCCAGUGAGCAGAAAGGAAUAGGAUGUGGGCUGACUAAAUUGUUUUGGUUUCCCACAUAGAGUGGGAAUUUUGCCACUUGGAUGAUUAAAAAUGACCAUUUUGUGGACUAGCAACUGAUCUUGUGAUACCUAUACUUAACAUUGUAUGAAAUGCAUACUAGUCUGUAAAGGUCCAUGUAGAUGUCUAUUUAAUCAUGCUGCUGAUCAAUUUGUGGAAAUCCUGCAAGGGGGGAAGAAUUCACGUAUCGACUUUUUUAUUCUGGAAGUUCAAAAAUACUUAAGUUGAAACUUUUGGCUACCGUAACCCCUCUGCUUUUUAUAUAUUCUACAGUGUAUGAACCAGAGCUUGAAAGGGUUGAUGGUGUCUUGUCUAUGCAUCCCAUACUUGCCUUAGACUGAGUUAAGCUCUAAUUUCAAUGAACAAGAGACAGGAGAAAUGGUAAAAAAGAGAAAGCUCCUUGGGUAUGAAUUGAGGUCCCUCAGUACCUCUGGGCUGAUCAUGAGCAUUACAUUGUCCAAUGCUCUACAUAAAAGAGAGAAUGUGUUCUUCAGAAGGACAGUCUGGCUAAGAGAAGAAAACAUUAAACCUUCUUCUUUAUAAAGUUCUCCUGAAACAAAGUAUUACUCUGAAAAGCCUUGAGCUAACUCUGCCUCUCUUUUCAAACAAAUAUGACAAAAGAUAUUUAUAAUAGUAGUAAUUUGAAGUUUUUGAGUUUAAAAACAUAUAGAAAUCAGAUAAUACAUAACAUGUAAUAUUUUUCUCAGUAUAUUAAGGAAAUUUUAUUUGUUGAAACUGUACCUGCUGUAUUCAGGCCUUCUGUAAUAGUGACUCCAAAAGUUAUCAAAACAAACCAAACCCCAUACCUACACUGAGGUAAGUUUUAUGCCCAAAAAAAAAAGUAAAACAUGGAAAGCAUAGAUAACAGUGGUUUGUUAUUUCUGCCUUUUCCAUUUGGAGCAUGGUGGAUUUUUUUAAAGUACACAUAAUCAUGUCUUCUGUACAGAAUUUAAUAUCUUAUGUCAACAUGCAGUUUUUCUCUAUUUGCCAGUUUUCCAGUCUUCACCUAUGCAAGCAUCAUUACACAGAUUCACAAAGUUUUGAAAAUUCUCCUUUAGGGUCUGCUUUUAAUCACAACAGAUAAUAAUGAUAAUUUUGGUUGAGCUUCUUUGGAUUUACAUCUAUGGAGAAAACAAAGCAUUUGGAUAUACUUAUAGUAUCUAUGCAUUCAGCAUUUGUUUGAGUACUGAUGCACAGGGAAGUAGUUUUUAAAUUGUCUCUCAGCCCCUGGCUUGUAGGUAUUCAUAAAACAUGUAGAUACAGGAAAGGUGAAGUCUGAACUGUGUGAGGAAGUGGUGUCUUGCUCCUUGUAUUGCCCUGAGG